rnacentral:ncRNA from 2 species
AGGGCAAGCUAGGGGUGUCUAAUCCAACUACUCGCAGCGGAUCAGGCUGAGACAAACCCUUAGAACCUGAACCGGUUCAUACCGGCGGAGGGAAGCUGUUUAUUGAGGUU